rnacentral:misc_RNA from 1 species
CAGAUGGGUAUAAGAGACAGGUGAAUCAUCGAAUCUUUGAACGCACAUUGCGCCCUCUGGUAUUCCGGGGGGCAUGCCUGUUCGAGCGUCAUUACAACCCUCAAGCUUUGCUUGGUAUUGGACAUUGCCAGUUUCUGGCAGGUCUUAAAAUCAGUGGCGGUGCCAUUUGGCUUCAAGCGUAGUAAUUCUUCUCGCUUUGGAGAUCCAGGUGGUUACUUGCCAAUAACCCCCAAUUUUUUCAGGUUGACCUCGGAUCAGGUAGGGAUACCCGCUGAACUUAAGCAUAUCAAUAAGCGGAGG